CCUACGGGAGGCAGCAGUGGGGGAUAUUGCACAAUGGGGGGAACCCUGAUGCAGCGACGCCGCGUGGGUGAAGGAGUGCUUCGGCAUGUAAAGCCCUAUCGGCAGGGAAGAAGCAAGACGGUACCUGACUAAGAAGCCCCGGCUAACUACGUGCCAGCAGCCGCGGUAAUACGUAGGGGGCGAGGGUUAUCCGGAUUCACUGGGUGUAAAGGGAGCGUAGACGGCCAUGCAAGCCAGGGGUGAAAGCCCGGGGCCAAACCCCGGGACUGCCCUUGGAACGGUGCGGGUAGAGUGCGGGCGGGGGAGGCGGAAGGCCGGGUGUGGCGGUGAAAUGGGUAGAUAUCAGGAGGA
rnacentral:rRNA from 1 species